GUAAUUAAUUACCCCACACCUGCCAGAGAUUAGCCUAGCAAACAAGAAGCUGCACCACCAAAGAGAGAAGUCAGUUUUGAACGCGGGAAUUUCUGGUUCAGAGCUGUUGGAGGUCAUGAGGAGUUGGCAGGAGAAGCAGGGGAGCGUCUUAUGAUGAGGGAGGCAACCGCUGAACGCUGAACCCUCAUUCGCCUCUGACCUUUUUCUGGACGCAGUGAAGUGCACUGUUUGCUGCUGUAAUGCACCUUUGAGUUCUUGGUCCUGUCUGAUUAAACCAGCUUGGACCCAUUCUUGGGGUAAUGCUUUGGGCUGUUAGCUUAAACAAAUGCAUUUUGUUAAAGAAUGAUCACUGCAGAUUGUAAAUAUAAGGUGUGUGUACACAAUAAAAGGAUAAACUUGA